AUUGAACGCUGGCGGCAGGCCUAACACAUGCAAGUCGAACGAGUGGCGGACGGGUGAGUAAUGUCUGGGAAACUGCCAGAUGGAGGGGGAUAACUCCUGGAUACGGUAGCUAAUACCGCAUUCCACCAUAUUUGCCCAGAUGGGAGUCGCUUGUUGGUUGGGUAACGGCUCACCAAGGCGACGAUCCCUAGCUGGUCUGAGAGGAUGACCAGCAACACUGGAACUGAGACAAGGGCCAGACUCCUACGGGAGGCAGCAGUGGGGAAUAGUGCACAAUGGGCGCAAGCCGGAUGCAGCCAUGCGGCGUGUGUGAAGAAGGCCUUCGGGUUGUAAAGUACUUUCAGCGGGGAGGCGUUACCCGCAGAAGAAGCAACGUCUAACUCCGUGCCAGCAGCCGCGGUAAUAC
rnacentral:rRNA from 1 species